UAGGGAAUUUUCGGCAAUGGACGGAAGUCUGACCGAGCAACGCCGCGUGAGUGAAGAAGGUUUUCGGAUCGUAAAGCCCUGUUGUUAGAGAAGAACGUUGGUAGGAGUGGAAAAUCUACCAAGUGACGGUAACUAACCAGAAAGGGACGGCUAACUACGUGCCAGCAGCCGCGGUAAUACGUAGGUCCCGAGCGUUGUCCGGAUUUAUUGGGCGUAAAGCGAGCGCAGGCGGUUCUUUAAGUCUGAAGUUAAAGGCAGUGGCUUAACCAUUGUACGCUUUGGAAACUGGAGGACUUGAGUGCAGAAGGGGGGAGUGGAAUUCCAUGUGUAGCGGGGAAAUGCGUAGAUAUAUGGAGGAACACCGGUGGCGAAAGCGGCUCUCUGGUCUGUAACUGACGCUGAGGCUCGAAAGCGUGGGGAGCAAACAGG
rnacentral:rRNA from 1 species